AAUUUGAAGCAACGCGAAGAACCUUACCAACUCUUGACAUCCUCCUGACCGGUACAGAGAUGUACCUUCCCCUUCGGGGGCAGGGGUGACAGGUGGUGCAUGGUUGUCGUCAGCUCGUGUCGUGAGAUGUUGGGUUAAGUCCCGCAACGAGCGCAACCCUUGUCCUUAGUUGCCAGCAUUCGGUUGGGCACUCUAGGGGGACUGCCGACGUAAGUCGGAGGAAGGUGGGGAUGACGUCAAGUCCUCAUGGCCCUUAUGUCUGGGGCUACACACGUGCUACAAUGGGUGGUACAAAGGGCAGCAAGCUAGUGAUAGUGAGCGAAUCCCAAAAAGCCGCCCUCAGUUCGGAUCGCAGUCUGCAACUCGACUGCGUGAAGUCGGAAUCGCUAGUAAUCGCGGAUCAGCAUG
rnacentral:rRNA from 1 species